rnacentral:rRNA from 1 species
GACGAACGCUGGCGGCGUGCUUAACACAUGCAAGUCGAGCGGAGCGGUGAACGGGUGAGUAACACGAGAGUAUCUGACCCCCCCUAUGGGAUAACAGUUGGAAACGGCUGCUAAUACCGGAUAGUGGGGGAUGACUCGCGUCCUAUCAGCUUGUUGGUGGGGUAGUGUCCUACCAAGGCGACGACGGGUAGCCGGCCUGAGAGGUCGACAGGCCACAAUGGGCGUAGGUACGGCCCAAGCUGGUAAGGGAGGCAGUGGGGGGGAAUAUUGCACAAUGGGGGAAACCCGGAUGAAGCAGUCCGCGGGCGGGAUGACGUUCUUCGGGGUGUAAACCGCUUUCGGCCAUAACGCGGGAGUGGCAGAAGAAGCACCGGCUAACUACGUGCCAGCAGCCGCGGUAAUUC